rnacentral:rRNA from 1 species
UACGGGGGGGGCAAGCGUUGUUCGGAAUUACUGGGCGUAAAGGGCUCGUAGGCGGCCAACUAAGUCGGAUGUGAAAUCCCCAAGCUUAACUUGGGAACUGCAUCCGAUACUGGAUGGCUUGAAUCCGGGAGAGGGAUGCAGAAUUCCAGGUGUAGCGGUGAAAUGCGUAGAUAUCUGGAGGAACACCUAUGGCGAAGGCAGCUCGCUGGGACGGUACUGACGCUGAGGCGCGAAAGCGUGGGGAGCGAACAGG